AGGACAUACAGGGCAGACCCUCCAGUCUACCAGAUCUAUCCGGUUCUAUUGAUGACUUACCUACUGGUACGGAGGGUGCUCUGAGCCCUGGAGUCAGCACAUCUGGAGUAUCCAGCAGUCAAGGAGAACAGAGCAAUCCAGCACAGUCACCCUUCUCCCCCCACACCUCUCCCCCAGUGGCUCGCCUGCCAGCGCCUCGGCAUCUCGUUCUGGCCCACUGUCCCCUGCCACGAUGCCAGGGAACCAGAUGCCUCCUCGCCCUUCAAGUGGACAGUCUGAUGGGAUGAUGCACCCUUCAAUGAAUCAACCUGGCAUGGGCCAAGAGAGAGGAUAUAUGCAGAGAAAUCCUCCAAUGGCACCCUAUGGGUCUCCACAGUCC